rnacentral:rRNA from 1 species
UACAGAGGGUACAAGCGUUAAUCGGAUUUACUGGGCGUAAAGCGUGCGCAGGCGGUUAUAUAAGACAGAUGUGAAAUCCCCGGGCUCAACCUGGGAACUGCAUUUGUGACUGUAUAGCUAGAGUACGGUAGAGGGGGAUGGAAUUCCGCGUGUAGCAGUGAAAUGCGUAGAUAUGCGGAGGAACACCGAUGGCGAAGGCAAUCCCCUGGACCUGUACUGACGCUCAUGCACGAAAGCGUGGGGAGCAAACAGG